rnacentral:lncRNA from 1 species
GGCUGUGAUGCAAACGCACGCAGGAAGCGUUGUGCAAGCAGGCUCUGGAGACCCGCAGGCUCCUGGGCAGAGGGCUGCCUUCUGUGUGGGCUUGCCCCUCGCCACACCUGGCCAGGAGCCUCCCCCAGCCCCGUGACCCUUGUGUCAGAGCCUGGCCAGAUGACAGACGGCCUGGGGUGCAGGCGAGACCCACUGAACUGGCAGCUGAGGACAGGUCCAGGCCCAGUGGCUGGGGGACUUCUCAGAGCAGGUACCACAACAGCUACCCAAGGACUCAGGACUUUUCUCCCACAGCCAGACUUGGUGAUUGCAUGAAGGAGCCCAGCCUCGGAUGACCUUUCCCCGUGACAAGGCACUAGGAGAGCACAGACCUCCCCACACAAACAGUAAGUCAGCAUGUGGUUAAAAAUGUAAAUAUGCACUACAGAGUUUAAAAUAUAUCAACCGAAGGAGUAAAACCAGACUGUCUGCUUGUCUUGGAUUCAUUUUGUGCUGUACAAGGCUCAAAAGGAACCCAAAUUCUGGCUAAAGAGGCCUUUUAUGGGAGGCCCCGCCUUGACGGUGACAGGUUGAGACCUAUUGCAAACCCGUGGUGGCCUCACCCACCAAUUUCCUCUGCAGCUUCUUCCCCCUCCAUGCUCCAGGCUGGCCAGCAAGCAGGCCGGGGGCCAGGGGCACACUAGCUCCAGGCGUGACAGCCAGAUGCUUCCUGCACCACCAGGCCUGCUCCGAGGCUGCAUCCCAGAAGCCACUCCAGGCAGGCAGGGUUUCUUCCCAACAUCUUGGGAAACAGAACUUACACAUUACCCCCAGCACACACACAGUACCUAGAACACUCUGGCUUCAAUGCCACGCCCAUCUCUGUCUGUGUCUACACUGUUUGGGGUUGAUUGAUAAGGCCCCAAAUGCAUUCCCACCAAGAGCUCGUUUUGCAGACUUAUCAUAUCACACCACGCCAGGGGCACGUGCACGUUUUAGAACAUGGUAUCCUAGAGGUGACAGUGCCCUACCCCAGUGUUCAUUCUUUAUUUGUUCAAACUCCAUGUGCAUCCAAUUGGCUUUCAGUAACACACAAGAGCUCAGGUAACAAGAAGAGAACUGUACCCGGAUGAUGAACUGGAACAUCCACCCUCAUCUUCACCUCCUCCACCCCAGGCCAUGUGCUUCACAGUCACACAGGGGAGCUUCUGGAAUGGACAGUGUUCCUGGUGUUGACUAUAGCCGUGGGCCUCUGAGAAGCUGAAGCAGUGUUGGGCGGAGACAGCUUCAGGGUCACCAGGCCCAGCUAGAACUCCAGGCUGACCUCAGGGCAACGUCCAGCAUCAAGAUGAGCUCCUGGGGCAUGAGGCUACGCAAGGCCUGAGACCCCACAGAUGGAGGACGCUGGGCCACCUGGUGGGGCUCCUUCAGCAAGAGAGGAAAGCAGGCCAAGGCCAGAGGCAGCUGCUGUCUGAAGAUGGGAGGGAGGCGUGCAGGCCUGGCUCCAGCCCACGGUGCGCAGCAAACUCCAGCCUGCUAGACGCAGAUGCAAUUGGAGCCAAGUGCACCUUGAUACCUCCAAGAUGUGACCCCUUACCAGACCCUAAACAAACCUUGUUGACAGAGCCAGACCACCCCUAUUUGAAUCAGCUGCGUGGCCACGUGCCUGUCAUUCGGUCUCUCUGUCCCCAUUUCUACAAUGUAAAACAGGAAAGUGAAACCCAUGGGCCAGCGGCCGCAUGCAGGAAAGCUGGCACUGUCAGCCAUGGCUGUGGUGACUCCCUGGGCCUUAAGCGAGCAAAGAGCCCACACACCCAAAUUCAGCACCUUCUUUCCUGUUCUCCUUUGAAGGAAACACUCUUCAUAUAAAAAGACAGGAAAAGAAACUCGAGACUUUUUCUUCUUUUGGGAGGGUCUCCAAUUUAGAAUCAGCAUAUCAAUAUUCUCUCUAAACCAAUGCUUCUAUUAAGGCAGAGUAAAUGGGAAGAGAAAUUCCACGGCCUGCAUCUAGCUUGUCACUGCAAAGUGAUUCACACAAACACACACUCACACUUUCACACACACGUGCACCUCUGAUUGAAGCAUUGCUGCUGAACUGAUGAGACACCACUAUGUAACCUCUGUUUUUCAAUUAAGUGCAAAAAGCCAAUUCUUAAUCUAUGCCAUAAACUUAAGUACAAGUGUAGUUGAAAGCAAUGAUGCCACAAAAGACCAGGUCACAGACUGACUGGGGGCUGCGCUCAACUUGUAAGCCUCUUGCCUCAC